CUGGCUGAGCCCGAUCUCCGGAGAGAAAAUACACCCUGUCUCCAAAAGUUCACGGCCGGACCACCCCAACCCCUGCCUCACCUCUCUGACAUCUUCAGCAUCUUCUGUCUUUAGGCUUUUAGCCGCCCUAACGGCAGACAGGGCAGAUGGGAAUGGGCGGAGUGGCACAGCAGUAACACUGAGCUCUACACAGAAAGGCGAGAGAGUUGCUAACAAACUCCGAUCGUGCUAUUCUCCUGACCAUAACCUGUCCGGUUUUAUUCCUUUCUUUGCUUGUCCCGCUAGCCUUGCCAGCUGCAGUCGCGGAGGAGGGGUCUAAGGAUUACUACUAUCGAGGACGGAGUUUAAGAAGCAGUCGAGAGAUUUUAUGGUGAAGAAACUUGCAAUGAAGUCUUGUUUUCCAUGAAAAAAAAAUCAUUGUAUAAGUACUGUAAAUAUACAACACAAAGAAUGAAGGUUUCUCCCUCAGUCCAUCUGCAAGAUCUGCUGGGUUACAAGAACACUUGAGUUAACUAAUACAUUUCUAGACCUUGCACUGCUGUUUAUCUGCAUGUGAAACUCCCAUUGAAGUCAAUGAAAGCUGUGUGCAUGGAUGGAAGUCAAUACAUGACCUAGAGGCCAAAUUCUACUCUCAGAUCCACACUUCAGGUCUCAGAAGUUUACCUUGAGUUAAGUAUAUAUAUUUGUUAUCUAUCAUGGUGAAAGCUAGAUAAAUAAAUACAACUACUACUUAAGUUGACUGUUUGAAGAGCUUAGAGCAGCCUUUGGGCCUCAUUCUACCUUCGAGUCACAGACAGAGCUCUCCCAAGAUCAGUGUAAAUUCUGCUGCUGAUUGAGGUCAGUACAUGGCCCUGAGUGCUUUGCUUUUGAUGCUUUGGCAUUAUGCACCCUUCAGAAAGUGCAGAUCACUGUUUCUAUGCCGUAUUUGUGAUGGCAGGAUCCUCAAAGGUGGAGUGGUAUUGCCAAAACUCAGGAUUUUGAGCAAGAUACUUAGGCAGAGACACACUUAUGGGCAGUAGGUAGCUCUGUACUCUCUGUCAUGUGUAGAUCUCAGUAGACAGAAGAGCAUAUAUCAUUCCAACUGAAGUUGCUAGUUACUUAUACUCAAGUGAUUUAUGUUCCACCUAUUUCAG